rnacentral:rRNA from 1 species
AGAGUUUGAUCCUGGCUCAGAACGAACGCUGGCGGCGUGGAUAAGACAUGCAAGUCGAACGGGACCAGGUUGGUAGUAAUACUAGCUUGGUUCAGUGGCGCACGGGUGCGUAACACGUGAGCAAUCUGCCGGGAAGUGGGGGAUAGCUCGCCGAAAGGCGAAUUAAUACCGCAUGUGGCCAUUCUUCGAGUGGAGGAAAAGCCAAAGCAGCAAUGCGCUUCCUGAUGAGCUCGCGGCCUAUCAGCUAGAUGGCGGGGUAAUGGCCCACCAUGGCUUUAACGGGUAGCUGGUCUGAGAGGACGACCAGCCACACUGGAACUGAGAUACGGUCCAGACACCUACGGGUGGCAGCAGUCGAGAAUUUUUCACAAUGGGGGCAACCCUGAUGGAGCGACGCCGCGUGGAGGAUGAAGGCCUUCGGGUUGUAAACUCCUGUCAUGCGGGAACAAGCAAGUGAUAGUACCGCAAGAGGAAGAGACGGCUAACUCUGCGCCAGCAGCCGCGGUAAUACAGAGGUCUCAAGCGUUGUUCGGAUUCAUUGGGCGUAAAGGGUGCGUAGGUGGUGGCGCAAGUCUGGUGUGAAAUCUCGGAGCUCAACUCCGAAAUUGCACCGGAUACUGCGUGACUCGAGGACUGUAGAGGAGAUCGGAAUUCACGGUGUAGCAGUGAAAUGCGUAGAUAUCGUGAGGAAGACCAGUUGCGAAGGCGGAUCUCUGGGCAGUUCCUGACACUGAGGCACGAAGGCCAGGGGACCAAACGGGAUUAGAUACCCCGGUAGUCCUGGCAGUAAACGGUGCACGUUUGGUGUGGGCGGGU